AGUUAUGAUGAUUUACUUUUGGAAUCUCGUUCGUCUGAAAUCCUGUUGAGAAUUUUAUUUGAAACUG